GUGUCUUUUGAAAGGAGAGCAGGUUAGCACUCCCCUUGACAAGGAUGGAACAUAUUCAGGGUCGGAGGCACACACAAAUGAAUGGGUGUUCACUAUUCAAUAGUAUUCUCAUGUUAUGUAUCAUUUUUU